GAGCGCAACCCUUGUCCUUAGUUACCAGCACGUUAUGUGGGCGACUCUAAGGAGACUGCCGGUGACAAACCGGAGGGAAGGUGGGGAUGACGUCAAGUCAUCAUGGCCCUUACGGCCUGGGCUACACACGUGCUACAAUGGUCGGUACAAAGGGUUGCCAAGCCGCGAGGUGGAGCUAAUCCCAUAAAACCGAUCGUAGUCCGGAUCGCAGUCUGCAACUCGACUGCGUGAAGUCGGAAUCGCUAGUAAUCGUGAAUCGGAAUGUCACGGUGAAUACGUUCCCGGGCCUU
rnacentral:rRNA from 1 species